rnacentral:rRNA from 1 species
UACGAAGGGUGCAAACGUUGCUCGGAAUUAUUGGGCGUAAAGCGCACGUAGGCGGCAUUGCAAGUCGGAUGUGAAAUCCCUCGGCUUAACCAAGGAAGUGCAUCCGAAACUGCAGUGCUUGAGUACUUAAGAGGAUCGCGGAAUUCCCGGUGUAGAGGUGAAAUUCGUAGAUAUCGGGAGGAAUACCAGUGGCGAAGGCGGCGAUCUGGGAAGAUACUGACGCUGAGGUGCGAAAGCGUGGGGAGCGAACAGG